rnacentral:tRNA from 1 species
GCCGGAGUGGUGGAAUCGGUAGACACAAGGGACUUAAAAUCCCUCGGGGGCAACCCCGUACCAGUUCAAGUCUGGUCUCUGGUACCA